rnacentral:misc_RNA from 1 species
UCUCCGUUGGUGAACCAGCGGAGGGAUCAUUACCGAGUCCCAGCAACUCCCAACCCUAGGCAACCGUACCCCAGUCUGUUCUGGUUGCUUCGGGCAGGCGGCGGGGGCCACCUCGCCCCACCCCCAGCCGGGGGCGGCGGGCCCACUGAACCUUUAGAUCUCAACCGCGGCAACCCGUCAGAGAAACACAAAAAAUAAUCAAAACUUUCAACAACGGAUCUCUUGGCUCUG